AUUAUUGUGGAAUCAUCUGUCUCCUGAAGUCAUCUUGUGAUAUACGCUGUGGACAGAAAAAGAUUAAAGAAGCAGGCCGGCGAGGGUGUAUUUAUGCAACGUGACAAGAACAUGCACAAGGAAGGAUGAUGUCAUAAUGGAUCUCUCUACCGUUCAUGGUAUGAAGGAGUCCAGUCUGACAUUUUUGACUGGCAGAGGUGGAAGAGUUGACAUCUGUUCAAAAGAGAGGCUGUCAAAGAAUCUCCUCACAGGUGACUUUUGGCAAAUUAACUGCAUCAUUCCCACCUUGUAGACCUCAUCUGUGAUCCCGUUCAUCUGCAUUAUUUUUUUGAAUGGAGUGGGACAGUGAUCAGAGAAGGCAAGCCUAUCCUCUGGUACCCAAGCCAAGUGAGAGGAACAGGCCAGUCUUCCUGCAGUCUAACACUGAUCACCAACUAGUA
rnacentral:lncRNA from 1 species